rnacentral:rRNA from 1 species
AUUGAACGCUGGCGGCAGGCCUAACCCAUGCAAGUCGAGCGGAACGGCGGACGGGUGAGUAAUGCCUAGGAAUCUGCCUGUUAGUAGGGGAUAACGUCCGGAAACGGGCGCUAAUACCGCAUACUAUCAGAUGAGCCUAGGUCGGAUUAGCUAGUUGGUGGGGUAAAGGCCUACCAAGGCGACGAUCCGGAACUGGUCUGAGAGGAUGAUCAUUCACAAUGGGACUGAGACACGGUCCAGAAUACUACGGGAGGCAGCAGUGGGGAAUAUUGGGCAAUGGGCGAAAGUCUGAUCCAGCCAUGCCGCGUGUGUGAAGAAGGUCUUCGGAUUGUAAAGCACUUUAAGUUGGGAGGCGUUACCAACAGAAUAAGCACCGGCUAACUUCGUGCCAGCCGCCGCGGUAAUUC